rnacentral:rRNA from 1 species
CCUACGGGAGGCAGCAGUGGGGAAUAUUGCACAAUGGGGGAAACCCUGAUGCAGCGACGCCGCGUGAGUGAAGAAGUAUUUCGGUAUGUAAAGCUCUAUCAGCAGGGAAGAAGAAAGACGGUACCUGACUAAGAAGCCCCGGCUAACUACGUGCCAGCAGCCGCGGUAAUACGUAGGGGGCAAGCGUUAUCCGGAUUUACUGGGUGGAAAGGGAGCGUAGACGGCUGUGCAAGUCUGAAGUGAAAGCCCAGGGCUCAACCCUGGGACUGCUUUGGAAACUGUGGGGCUAGAGUGCUGGAGAGGAGAGUGGAAUGCCGAGGGUAGCGGUGAAAUGCGUAGAUAUAAGGAGGAACACCAGUGGCGAAGGCGGCUUUCUGGACAGUAACUGACGUUGAGGCUCGAAAGCGUGGGGAGCAAACAGGAUUAGAUACCCUUGUAGUC